rnacentral:rRNA from 1 species
AGAGUUUGAUCAUGGCUCAGAACGAACGCUGGCGGCAGGCUUAACACAUGCAAGUCGAACGCAUCCUUCGGGGUGAGUGGCAGACGGGUGAGUAACGCGUGGGAACGUGCCCUUCAGUUCGGGAUAACCCAGGGAAACUUGGGCUAAUACCGGAUACGUGCGAGAGCAGAAAGAUUUAUCGCUGAAGGAUCGGCCCGCGUCUGAUUAGCUAGUUGGUGGGGUAAUGGCCCACCAAGGCGACGAUCAGUAGCUGGUCUGAGAGGAUGAUCAGCCACAUUGGGACUGAGACACGGCCCAAACUCCUACGGGAGGCAGCAGUGGGGAAUAUUGGACAAUGGGCGCAAGCCUGAUCCAGCCAUGCCGCGUGAGUGAUGAAGGCCUUAGGGUUGUAAAGCUCUUUCGUCCGGGACGAUAAUGACGGUACCGGAAGAAGAAGCCCCGGCUAACUUCGUGCCAGCAGCCGCGGUAAUACGAAGGGGGCUAGCGUUGUUCGGAAUCACUGGGCGUAAGGGGCGCGUAGGCGGCUUUGUAAGUCGGGGGUGAAAGCCUGUGGCUCAACCACAGAAUUGCCUUCGAUACUGCAUGGCUUGAGACCGGAAGAGGUAAGUGGAACUGCGAGUGUAGAGGUGAAAUUCGUAGAUAUUCGCAAGAACACCAGUGGCGAAGGCGGCUUACUGGUCCGGUUCUGACGCUGAGGCGCGAAAGCGUGGGGAGCAAACAGGAUUAGAUACCCCCGUAGUCC